rnacentral:lncRNA from 1 species
AGACAUCAGGGUUGCCAUUUGACCUCCACGAAGAUGUGCACAGUGUUCAGGUCCAUGAGUACACACACGUAUAUGCACACACAAACAGAAUCUUGCUUUGGCCACAUGUGAUCACAUACGGCCUUCUGUCACAGUGGCAGGACCCGAAUUUGAAUUCACCUUUGUAACAUGAUCUUGUUUACUUUUUAACAAGUGCGGUUAGGUUACUUAUACCUGAUAACAGCUUCCAUGGGUAUAAAUUGCACAAGCAGGAAUGUCAGCGUCCCGAAAAGACAGUCAGCUAUUGUCCAGUACAAAGGAGCAGCUUAUCAGCUGUGUUGCGGUGGGGCUCCAGGGUCACUGGAUUCAUGGAGGAGUGGGAUGCACAUAAACAUUCUUCAGGGUAGUUUGGGAACACCCAGCUUAAAGGAGUCACAACAGCUUGUCUCAUUGUCAACUGAAGAAUUAAUAAACUGCAAACUAAACCAUUUUUGAUUAAAAACUCCUUAAGCUAGAGAUUUAAAAAAGAGAUAUAAAAAAAAAAA